rnacentral:tRNA from 1 species
GGAGGAACCGUGGCUCAGUGGUAGAGCAGCUGCUCAACAUUCAGAAGGUCCCAGGUUCGAUACCCAGCACCUCUA